UAGGGUUUAUGUAUAAAAGGGGUUUAUUGCAUAUAUAAGCUAUCCCAUAAUUUUUGGAUAAUUAUUUGAGUUGAAAAAGUAUUUUAUUUAAAUAGGAAAUAUAGCCCUAAAGGCAUAUAUAGGGCAAAUGUAUUUUUAUAUUUUUUAUUUUGAGGGGAAACUACUCCCAAAAGUUGUAUCAUGGUAAAACAUGAUUUUACAAAAUUUCUAGAAUUUAUUUGGACCAAUUUGGAGUUCAAAAUCAAAAGUUAUCAAAGAAAAAAGAAAAAGGGAAAAAGAAAAGAAAAAAAAAGAGAACCGGACCGGCCCGACCGCGCGCGAGCCGGCCCAGCCCGCACCGUCCGCCCGCCCGCGCCCGCUGCCACUGACAGGUGGGGCCCACCUCUCAGGGCCUUCGUUCCCGAAGGAAAGCGCCCUCGCCGCCGCGCUUCUUUCCCCUCUCUUGCCUCCCCGAAUCGCUACGCCCAC
rnacentral:lncRNA from 1 species